rnacentral:misc_RNA from 1 species
GAAGAAACCUCCUCCUUUUUCCCCUGAUUUUUGCAGAGGGAGACUCUGAAUGUAGCCUCAAUAACAAACACAUAUAGAAUUCAGAGACAGAAGGAGAAAGACUCAUUUGACCUCCAAAUGCACAUGGCUUCUUGGGCUUCUCUUCUCCCCACAUUAUUUUUGUUUUUCCUUUCCCUCACAUGCUCUCCUCUCUCUCAGUGGUUAACCAUUUUCUUUUUAAAAUAUCAUUGAUAAACUAUUGACUCAGCAGUUGAGCAGAUUCCUCAGAUCUACGGUGAACAACUUUCUGCUUAUUCUCCUACCAAACCUCCCAUUUCUUUUCUACUCCAAGGGUGUGAUUAAAGUGGAGCUUGUCCAGGAUUAUCUGUUAUAAUAUUAGUGAAGGGUUUAAAAAUUGUUGCAUUGGAAUUGGUUCAGAUGCAUAGACUGCUGCAUGUCGCAUGGUUCUUGUCUAUUUUAUAGAUGGAUAAAGUGGAUUUAAGUGAGUCAAAGUUCAAUAAGAUGGAGAACAAUCAAAUUGAUCAAAUUGAAGACAUGGACACUGAAGUUGUUCCUUCAAUGUGGCCUGAAGAUAUUGAUAGUGAAAAGCCAUACAAUGUAGAAAAACCAGGAGGGGAUCAAGAUAUGUUGGAGGAAGUUACUAUAGUUGAGGAGCCAAGUAUAAUUGAUUUCCGCCGUCUUAUAGAGCUAACCAGUUACACUGACAAGGGCUCUUCUCAGCUAGCAUACCUUGUAAAACAAUGGGAAUAUCAGCAGGUAACCGCUGUCCGCCUUCUCAGAGAAGAGCUUGACAUUCUAAGCCAGCAAAGGCAGGAAGUUGAGCUAAAAAAAUUGGAGAUAUUGGAAAAAUUUCGGUUUGAGGAAGAAGGAUAUGGUGGUGAUAAACGUCCAAUAUCUAUAUUGGAUGAAGUUAUUGAUAUAUAUCAAGAUCUUCCCCGAAGAAAAAAAGAUUUCAUUACUCCAAACAAGAAAGUAGAAAUAGAUGCAGAAUAUGACACUGUUGCAUACUGGAAGCAGCGAGCCAUGCAUUUGGAGAAAUUGUUGGAAGCCAGCAUCCAGAGGGAGCAAUCACUCAUUGAGAAGUUACAGGAAAGUGUAAAAAAUUUGGAAAGGCAGUCUUCCCCAGUAGAAGAAUUAUCCCAGAUUCUGAAAAGAGCAGACAAUUUCUUACAUUUUAUACUUCAAAAUGCUCCUGUUGUCAUGGGUCAUCAGGUAAUCAUGACUCAAGUGGUGUAAAUUCUGUUACUGCUGCCUUAAAAAGAUGUUUCAUAGUGACAUUUUGCUUUUGGCAUUGGAGCUUUUCACAUGCAUAUGGCUGCUUGAGUUUUAAGACCUCCUGUUUUGCUGUAGUGGUAUAAUACAGUGUUUCAACUUGCAGCUGAAUUAUUGUUUCAACUUUCUAUGCUGUUACUCUUUAUCUUUUAUUAGAUGAAAAGGCUUUUUCCUAAGAAUCUUUUCUUUCAGGAUAAAGAGUUAAGAUAUCGCUUUAUCUACAAUCAUUUUCCAAGUUUGCAAGGAGAGGUAAUAAAUUGAAACUUGUACCUUUUUCUCUUGGUGUAGGGGUGUUUUCCUUCUUGAAGUUUCUGUUGUUUCCACAGAAUUGUUUGCUUGAGUGAAGCUAGAAUACUGACAUUUUCCUCCAUUUCUUUUCCAGGACAUUUUGGGAAAGACUGAUAUGGAAAUUUUUACAGGAGCAGGAGUUAAGGAAUCACAAGAUUUCAAGAGAGAAGUUCUUGAAAAAGGAUUGCCUGCAAAGAGGGAAAUUACAUUUGAGACAGAAUUAUUUGGGUUGAAGACAUUUUUGAUUUACGUGGAACCUGUAUUUAGCAAGUCAGGGGAGACGAUUGGGAUAAAUUAUAUGGGAAUGGAUGUAACCGACCAGGUAAGGAAAAGAGAAAAGAUGGCAAAGCUUCGAGAAGAGAUUGCAGUACAGAAAGCAAAAGAAACAGAACUGAAUAAAACAAUCCAUAUAACAGAGGAGACAAUGCGUGCAAAACAAAUGCUAGCAACCAUGUCUCAUGAGAUAAGAUCUCCUCUUUCUGGGGUUGUAAGCAUGGCUGAGAUUCUUUCCACCACAAACCUUGACCGUGAGCAAAGACAACUACUCAAUGUCAUGAUAUCUUCAGGGGAUCUCGUCCUUCAACUUAUAAAUGACAUACUUGACCUUUCCAAGGUUGAGUCUGGUGUUAUGAAAUUGGAAGCCACAAAAUUCCAUCCAAGAGAGGUAGUAAAGCAUGUACUCCAAACAGCUGCUGCUUCACUGCAAAAGAUUCUGAUCUUGGAAGGACGCAUAUCUGAUGAUGUUCCUAUUGAGGUCAUUGGAGAUGUUCUAAGGAUUCGACAAAUCCUCACUAACUUGAUCAGCAAUGCAAUCAAGUUUACCCAUGAAGGGAAGGUAGGGAUAAACCUUUAUGUGGUACCAGAUCCAUGUUUUGGAAAAGCGGAAGGAAACCAUCAGAAGUCAUCUGUUGGUCGUUCAACCACAAAUGUAUCAAAAGAGGAUAAAUGCACAUUGGCAUCUCAAACUAACAAUGAUCAAAAUGGUUCCCACACUCCUCGUCAAAAUCAUUCGCUUGAUGAUGAACCUAGAACUCCGGUUAGAAAUGAAAACACGAUGGAAGGAGAUAAACAGGAGGAUCAAUUACCAGAAACAGUUGUGUGGCUAUGCUGUGAUGUUUAUGACACUGGAAUUGGAAUACCAGAAAAUGCCUUACCUACUCUAUUUAAAAAAUACAUGCAAGUCAGUGCAGACCAUGCUCGAAAAUAUGGAGGGACAGGCCUGGGACUUGCAAUAUGCAAACAGCUGGUUGAGCUGAUGGGUGGCCGUCUAACUGUGUCUAGCAGAGUGAACUGUGGGUCUACUUUCACAUUUGUUUUACCAUACAAGGUAUCACCAAUGUGUGAUUCUUCUGAUGAUGCUGAUGAGCUAUCAGGUAUUACUGAUCAUGAUGCUGCAUUAGAGGAUGAAACUGAUGGAUACUUUUUGUUCCAACCACGUACUUUGGGCUCUCUAUUCUCUUCCAAUGGAUCCACCAGGACUCAAAAAUUACUACCACACAAUAUGGGCUAUGUUAAGAACGGAUUCUCAGACAAUCCUUACUCAUUUCCCUCUCAUAAUGUUAGAUCAAAAGAGACAGCCUCUGUUGAGGAUGCCUGUUCUACAGUUGAAGUUGCUGCGCCAUUGUCUGAACCUGAAAGUUCUUGUAGUCACAGUCCGGAACCUGCUAAUGAGAAUGUAGUUUGUAGAAACAAGCACUUUCAAGAUGACACAAAUAAUCAAUGGCAAACUUCUCAUGCAGAAUGUAGCAGAGAAGCCGAUGCAAGGCCAAAGACAAGUGAACCCAAAGGAUCAAGUCAGGCACAGGAGAAAUCUGAAAUAAGUUCUCAGUGCACAACUGGAAACAGUCCACAAGUGCAAACAUCAAAAUUACAGCCUAAGAUCCUUCUUGUAGAAGACAAUAAGAUUAAUGUAAUGGUGACUCGAUCAAUGAUGAAGCAAUUAGGCCAUAGCAUGGAUGUUGUUAACAAUGGAGUUGAAGCUGUGCGUGCAGUUCAAUGCAAUUGCUAUGAUCUCAUUUUGAUGGAUGUCUGCAUGCCAGUUAUGGAUGGCCUUCAAGCCACUAGACUGAUUCGUUCUUUUGAAGCAACUGGCAGUUGGGAUGCAGCAAUUAAGGCUGGAAUUGAAUUGUGUUUACCUUCCUCAAAUUCAUUACAAGAUACACAAGGUUCCAUGCCUUCUACCAAGCGGACCCCUAUAAUUGCAAUGACUGCAAAUGCAUUGUCAGAGAGUGCAGAGGAAUGUUAUGCAAAUGGUAUGGAUUCAUUUAUCUCAAAGCCUGUCACCUUUCAAAAGAUAAAAGAGUGUUUUGAACAAUAUUUUCCAUGAUAUCUUCUGUAAAUUUAUGUUUGUAUAUAUGAAUGACAAAGCGCUAGGAACGUUUUGUAAUCACUGUAUCAAGUUCUUUGUAGCCAUUAGCAUCUCAAUAGAAAUCAAGUUGUAUAAAUCCAGUUUAACCCUUUUUUUGUCUUUUUGGUCCAACAAAAUUUUCCCAUGCUAAUGAAGGUUUAGAAGGUAAUUGGAU